GCAGUAUCCUAACUGUGCUAAGGUAGCAUAAUCAUUAGUCUUUUAAUUGGAGACUGGUAUGAAUGGCUUAACGAGAAAUUGACUUUUUUUACUAUAUAAAUUGAACUUAAUUUUUUAGUGAAAAAGCUAAAAUGAUUCAGAAAGACGAGAAGACCCUAUAGAGUUUUAUAUUGAUUUAUAUUUUCUCUUAAUAGAUUUUUAUAGACUAAAUUUAAUAAGAUAUUUUGUUGGGGCGACAUUAAGAUAUAAAAAACUCUUUAUUUUUAAAAUUUUUAUAAAAAUAUUUUAUGAUCCUCUAAAAGGGAUCAGAAGAAAAAAUUACCUUAGGGAUAACAGCGUAAUCUUUUUUGAGAGUUCUAAUCGACAAAAAGGUUUGCGACCUCGAUGUUGGACUAAAAUUUAGGCAGGGUGCAGCAGUUCUGCUUUUAGGUCUGUUCGACCUAUA
rnacentral:rRNA from 1 species